rnacentral:rRNA from 1 species
UACAGAGGGUGCGAGCGUUGCUCGGAAUCACUGGGCGUAAAGCGCACGUAGGCGGAUUGUUAAGUCAGGGGUGAAAUCCUGGAGCUCAACUCCAGAACUGCCUUUGAUACUGACGGUCUUGAGUCCGGGAGAGGUGAGUGGAACUGCGAGUGUAGAGGUGAAAUUCGUAGAUAUUCGCAAGAACACCAGUGGCGAAGGCGGCUCACUGGCCCGGUACUGACGCUGAGGUGCGAAAGCGUGGGGAGCAAACAGG